CUAAUUACAAAUCUUGCACCAAAAGCCAUUUGAAGCCCCAAUUUGGUCAGAUCUGCUCCCCAUCUGCUUCGUUGCGUUGCAGCGGGAACAACAAGAUUCCGCCAUUAAAAUCUCUUCCGGUAUGCUCCUCCUUUCUGUAUGAUUCUCACAGAGAUUUAUGUUUUCUUCUGUUUCUUUCACAAACUCACUCAUACUAACAUGUAAAAUUGUCACUUUAACAGCACUCCAUUUUCACUUUCUUAGAUUGAUCGUCCAUUUUCACUUUAGUGUUACUUUUAUCGUUUUUUCCUUCAAAGUUGUGUGAGUAAUUACUGUGGAAAGGUGUUAUGAUCUCCUUGUUGAUGUUAUGGUGUUCGCUUUUAAGCGCUAUGUACAGUGGGUCCAUAACUCUAACUAGAUUAUUAUCCAAAUUGAAAAUUACUCUUUAAUUUCCUAACAAGUUAUGAAGGCUGUUCUUUUCCCAUUUCUAUUAGAUUUUUUUUUUCCAUUUUUUGUUCAAAAUAUAAUUUUGAUGUUUAUUUUUGUUUGUUUAUCAGGGUCAUUGGACAAGAAUCACAGAACCAGUUGGUGGUAGGCUAUCAUAUAAACCCCCAGUUAUGACAUCAAUUCACCAAAUCUUUAUACUCCAUUAAUGGCUUCAGUCCUAUAUUGUUCUUGCUGGCUUCUCACUGAGUCUUCAAGGGAAGUAACUAUCAUCAAUUCAUCAUGCUUUGUUCUAUGUAUGUAUAUGCGUAUGUUUGUAUGUGUAUAUAAUAUGUAUAUAGUUAUAUAUUUUUUUAUUGCAUUCAGGACAUGGAAAGCUCCAAACUCUGAGAAAAACUAGAGAGAAAAAAACCAACUAUAUAACAAAUUGUUACAAUCACAUGGACUAAUCAUCCACCUUCCUCCGAUUACGCCCAUAUUCUCCAAAGAUUUGAGUAACACUUUUCUAUGUUGGUCUAUAUUUGUCAAGCAUUGUACUUGUUUGUUGAUUCCGGGUCUAUGGUUCUUUGAGGUAGGUGGUAUGAUAGGUUGUACAAUGUUUAGCCUGUGAAUUAGGUUUGUGGGUGGGACAAAUUUUGCAAAUUUUUGUCCCAUUUGAGGAUUUACUAUCUUGUACAUGUGUAAAAGACGUAAAUACCCUUCUUGUCUUCGUUAUGUUUGGGAGUUGUUUUUUUUAAUGAGCUUAAUAGUUUAAGCACUUAAUCUGAACAACUAUAUAUGGAUGUUUCUUUUUUAAUCCAGACCGGAUGUCUUAACGGGUUAAGCAAAAAAAAAAACAUGACUUAGUCGGUUAAGAGGUUAAGUCGUUAAUACUUGAUCUAUUUGUCCUUCCCAAUUCCUCUCAUGUUAAAAGUGACCGGAUAUUGUUAAGACUAAUGAAUAUUUGAAAUUUAUAUUUUUAAA
rnacentral:lncRNA from 1 species